UGCCCGGUCGCCAAGUCUGGUAAGGCAGCGGACUUUGGAUCCGCCAUUCGCAGGUUCGAAUCCUGCCCGGGCAGCCA
rnacentral:tRNA from 1 species